rnacentral:rRNA from 1 species
UAAGGAAUAUUGGUCAAUGGACGCAAGUCUGAACCAGCCAUGCCGCGUGAAGGAUGAAGGUCCUCUGGAUUGUAAACUUCUUUUAUCUGGGACGAAAACGGGAUUUUUAUCUCAAUUGACGGUACCAGAGGAAUAAGCACCGGCUAACUCCGUGCCAGCAGCCGCGGUAAUACGGAGGGUGCGAGCGUUAUCCGGAUUUACUGGGUGUAAAGGGCGCGCAGGCGGAAUGGAAAGUCAGUGGUGAAAUCCUACAGCUUAACUGUAGAACUGCCUUUGAUACUUUCAUUCUUGAGUUCGGGAGAGAGAGACGGAAUUCCCGGUGUAGUGGUGAAAUGCGUAGAUAUCAGGAGGAACACCUGCGGUGUAGACAGCUUUCUGGACCAAAACUGACGCUGAGGCACGAAAGCGUGGGUAGCAAACA